AGGAUGAACGCUAGCGGCAGGCCUAACACAUGCAAGUCGAGGGGCAGCAUAAGGAUAGUUUACUAUUCUGGUGGCGACCGGCGCACGGGUGAGUAACGCGUAUGCAACCUACCCUGUACAGGGGGAUAGCCCGAAGAAAUUCGGAUUAAGACCCCAUAGUAUUAACUUACCGCCUGGUAAGUUACUUAAAGGUUACGGUACAGGAUGGGCAUGCGUCCAAUUAGCUAGAUGGUGAGGUAACGGCUCACCAUGGCGACGAGUGGGGUAGGGGGUCUGA
rnacentral:rRNA from 1 species